rnacentral:rRNA from 1 species
UGAGGAAUAUUGGUCAAUGGGUGCAAACCUGAACCAGCCAUGCCGCGUGCAGGAAUAAGGUCCUAUGGAUUGUAAACUGCUUUUAUACGGAAAAAAACCUCUCGACGUGUCGGGAGCUGAUGGUACCGUAAGAAUAAGGAUCGGCUAACUCCGUGCCAGCAGCCGCGGUAAUACGGAGGAUCCAAGCGUUAUCCGGAUUCACUGGGUUUAAAGGGUGUGUAGGCGGGGUAUUAAGUCAGUGGUGAAAGCCUACAGCUUAACUGUAGAACUGCCAUUGAAACUGAUAUUCUUGAGUACAAUUGAAGUAGGCGGAAUGUGUGGUGUAGCGGUGAAAUGCUUAGAGAUCACACAGAACACCGAUUGCGAAGGCAGCUUGCUAAAUUGUAACUGACGCUGAGACACGAAAGCGUGGGGAUCAAACAGG